GACGAACGCUGGCGGCGUGCUUAACACAUGCAAGUCGAACGGAAAGACCCUGCUUUUGUGGGGUGCUCGAGUGGCGAACGGGUGAGUAACACGUGAGUAACCUGCCCUUGACUUUGGGAUAACUUCAGGAAACUGGGGCUAAUACCGGAUAGGAGCUCCUGCUGCAUGGUGGGGGUUGGAAAGUUUCGGAGGUUGGGGAUGGACUCGCGGCUUAUCAGCUUGUUGGUGGGGUAGUGGCUUACCAAGGCUUUGACGGGUAGCCGGCCUGAGAGGGUGACCGGCCACAUUGGGACUGAGAUACGGCCCAGACUGCUACGGGAGGCAGCAGUGGGGAAUAUUGCACAAUGGGCGGAAGCCGGAUGCAGCAACGCCGCGUGCGGGAUGACGGCCUUCGGGUUGUAAACCGCUUUCGCCUGUGACGAAGCGUGAGUGACGGUAAUGGGUAAAGAAGCACCGGCUAACUACGUG
rnacentral:rRNA from 1 species